rnacentral:rRNA from 1 species
GUGCCAGCAGCCGCGGUAAUACGUAGGGUGCAAGCAUUAAUCGGAAUUAUUGGGCGUAAAGGGCGCGUAGGCGGAUUCGUAAGUCAGAUGUGAAAUUCCAAAGCUCACCUUUGGAGCUGCAUUUGAUACUGUGAAUCUUCUGAGGAAUGGCGGAGAAAACGGAAUUCCACAUGUAGCGGUGAAAUGCGUGGAUAUGUGGAGGAACACCGGUGGCGAAAGCGGUUUUCUAGCUUUUUCCUGACGCUGAGGCGCGAGAGCAAGGGGAGCAAACAGGAUUAGAUACCCUGGUAGUCCUUGCCGUAAACGAUGUAUACUUGAUGUAAUUGGGCUCAACCCUGAUUGUGUCGUAGCUAACGCGAUAAGUAUACCGCCUGAGGAGUACGCUCGCAAGGGUGAA